rnacentral:rRNA from 1 species
AUUGAACGCUGGCGGCAUGCCUAACACAUGCAAGUCGAACGGGGCAGCAAUGCCUAGUGGCGGACGGGUGAGGAAUACGUAGGAAUCUGCCUAUUAGUGGGGGAUAACUCGGGGAAACUCGGGCUAAUACCGCAUACGUCCUACGGGAGAAAGUGGGGGCUCUUCGGACCUCACGCUAUCGGAUGAGCCUAGGUCGGAUUAACUAGUUGGUGGGGUAAAGGCUCACCAAGGCGACGAUCCGUAACUGGUCUGAGAGGAUGAUCAGUCACACUGGAACUGAGACACGGUCCAGACUCCUACGGGAGGCAGCAGUGGGGAAUAUUGGACAAUGGGCGAAAGCCUGAUCCAGCCAUGCCGCGUGUGUGAAGAAGGUCUUCGGAUUGUAAAGCACUUUAAGUCGGGAGGAAGGGCUGUAGGCUAAUACCUUGCAGUUUUGACGUUACCGACAGAAUAAGCACCGGCUAACUUCGUGCCAGCAGCCGCAGUAACAC